CACGAAGUUAGCCGGGGCUUAUUCUUGCGGUACCGUCAUUAUCUUCCCGCACAAAAGAGCUUUACAACCCUAGGGCCUUCAUCACUCACGCGGCAUGGCUGGAUCAGGCUUGCGCCCAUUGUCCAAUAUUCCCCACUGCUGCCUCCCGUAGGAGUUUGGGCCGUGUCUCAGUCCCAAUGUGGCUGAUCAUCCUCUCAGACCAGCUACUGAUCGUCGCCUUGGUGAGCCGUUACCUCACCAACUAGCUAAUCAGACGCGGGCCAAUCUUUCGGCGAUAAAUCUUUCCCCGUAAGGGCUUAUCCGGUAUUAGCACAAGUUUCCCUGUGUUGUUCCGAACCAAAAGGUAUGUUCCCACGCGUUACUCACCCGUCUGCCGCUGACGUAUUGCUACGCCCGCUCGACUUGCAUGUGUUAAGCCUGCCGCCAGCGUUCGCUCUGAGCCAGGAUCAAACUCU
rnacentral:rRNA from 1 species